UUAACGGGAUCAAAAUGUAAAGAACCUCACUCUUUACAUUUCUCUACUCAAUGGGAAGAGAAAUUUAUUAAAAGUUGAAUAGAAACGUUUACAUCUCUUCUACAAAUGAGACAGAUGAGCGGGAAUAUAUUAACUUUCAUGUGUUAUGUAUAGACACCACUGAUUAAUCCCUUGUACGGUGCACUAAGACAAUAAAAUAUGGUUAUUGGUCGCAUGGUUUUAUCAUUUUCUGAGCCAGGAUGCUUAUCAAAAGGUCAAUUUUCCAAAGGGUUUUGUGCGUUAAGAUCAAGGGACUUCCUAGGUGGGCGUGUGUGGGUGUACUGUAUUCGUGGCCAACUUUGCUGGGUGAAGUCUGGUGACGAAAAAUCUCAAAUCCAUUUUAAAAUCUACUCUAAGUUUGGGCUCCGAUAUUUCAGAAUCAGCUCAAAUUCUUCUUGGUGAUUUUUAUCUACAAACUUAGGCCUGUGGUGGGUAUAUUGAAGCUGCUCUUGGAAUUGAGGUGAUUUUAAAAAAAUAGUUGUCAAAAUAAGUUGGAGGUGUUUUUGAUGUAUGGCAAACACUUCAAAACAACUUUAUUUCAAAAUUCAGAUGAAAAAAGCUAAAAUAAAUAAGCUGCAAAAAGCAGCUUUAGAAAACAACUUCUGGUUGAAAACACGGAGCUACAGUAACCUUUUUAAUGAAAUUUUCAAUUUACCAACCUUGCCCUCCCUUUUCUCCUGCCUUCGCCCUGGUUUUUCCUCACACUUUCAGAUCCCUCGCAUGCCCUCUCUAUCAAAACCCUUUCAGACUCUCUCACACACCGCCGUCGCCUUCACUCCUUCCUCUGUGUCAAGUGAAGUAGACAUGCCAGACCUUUCAAUGGAUAUCGUUGCCAAUAUACUCUCGCGACUUCCUCUUAGCUCCUACUGACUGAUUCAUUGAAUCUGGGAAAACGAUAUCAUGGGAUGUAACUGUACAAGUAAUCAUCUGCAUGCAUUAAUAAUCUGUUUGUGUGUGUAGUCACUUUGUACAGGAUAGAGCCUAUUAAAAGAGCCUUUUAAAAGAGCCUUUCACAGAGAAAA